UAGGGAAUAUUCCACAAUGAGCGAAAGCUUGAUGGAGCGACACAGCGUGCACGAUGAAGGCCCUCGGGUUGUAAAGUGCUGUUGCAAGGGAAGAACAGUUAGUUGAGGAAAUGCUUCUAAUCUGACGGUACCUUGUUAGAAAGCGAUGGCUAACUAUGUGCCAGCAGCCGCGGUAAUACAUAGGUCGCAAGCGUUAUCCGGAAUUAUUGGGCGUAAAGCGUUCGUAGGCUGUUUAUUAAGUCUGGAGUCAAAUCCCAGGGCUCAACCCCGGCUCGCUUUGGAUACUGGUAAACUAGAGUUAGAUAGAGGUAAGCGGAAUUCCAUGUGGAGCGGUGAAAUGCGUAGAUAUAUGGAAGAACACCAAAGGCGAAGGCAGCUUACUGGGUCUAUACUGACGCUGAGGGACGAAAGCGUGGGGAGCAAACAGGAUUAGAUACCCUGGUAGUCCACGCUGUAAACGAUGAUCAUUAGUCGGUGGAAAACUACUGACGCAGCUAACGCAUUAAUGAUCCGCCUGAGUAGUAUGCUCGCAAGAGUG
rnacentral:rRNA from 1 species